rnacentral:rRNA from 1 species
UACGGGGGGGGCAAGCGUUGUUCGGAAUUACUGGGCGUAAAGGGCUCGUAGGUUGCCAACUAAGUCAGACGUGAAAUCCCUCGGCUUAACCGGGGAACUGCGUCUGAUACUGGAUGGCUUGAGUUCGGGAGAGGGAUGCGGAAUUCCAGGUGUAGCGGUGAAAUGCGUAGAUAUCGGGAGGAACACCAGUGGCGAAGGCGCUGACCUGGACGAUGAUUGACGCUGAGGCGCGAAAGCGUGGGGAGCAAACAGG